GCCUGGCUGGCUCAGUUGGUAGAGCUUGUGACUCUUGAUCUCAGGGUCGUGGGUUUGAACCCCACAUUGGGUG
rnacentral:tRNA from 1 species